rnacentral:lncRNA from 1 species
GCUCAGUGGUAGAGCGCUUGCCUUGCAUGUGCGAGACCCUGGGUUCGAUCCUCAGCACCACAUUAAAAAAAAAAAAAAAAGUGAAAUAAAGGUAUUGUGUCCAACCACAACUAAAAAACAAAUAUUAAAAAAGAAUUCAGUAUGUAAACAUUUUAAGGUACCCAAAAGAACAUUAUGAAUUUUCAAUCUGUUAUCCCUAAAUAUGUUUGAGAACCAUUACAUGAGUGUUUGGCUCUAAAACCAUCUUUGGGGUCCAUGCCAAAGGAAUGCUAUCAAAUAUAUCAGUCAGAAUAGGGCUCCAAGAUAAAGACAACUCAAUUCUGUUCUAAAAUGGAGAAUAUGGCAAGAUUUCAGUAUAACUGCUACUAAUAUUUCCAUUUUUUCUGAAAUACCUAGCAAGUAGUUGUUAUUAAGGAUUUUUUAUAUGUAUGUAGUAAAGUGUUACAAUUUGGGAAUAGUUUGCAAUAUACUUUCAGGCAGUAAGCUUUAAAAUAAUGAAACUUCAGCUCUUAGCACAAACAUCCCUGAGAAUAAUGCAUUCAAAUUAUAGUGCAACUAGAAACAAUCUAAUUGAGAAACCUUAAAGUACAAAAACAAAUUCUGGAAAAGUGUAAAUUAAAAUUUAAAAGUUACCAACAUUUGAGGCACUACCAGCCUAUAGUACUUUUAAUUGGGAAGGAUUUUGGAAAAAGAACAAACAUACAAAGCUAUAUGUGUACAUGUACACACUCAUAUUGUGCUGUAAUGAAAAAUUGUGUCCAUAAGUUUUAUAGCCUAAACAUUUUAUUGCAACAUUUCCUGUUUAAGAUAUUAUUGUUAGGCUGCAGGAAUUUUGGUAAUUAAUAUAAAGCAUGGUAUAGAAAUCUGUACCAUUAAGAGAAACUGAGGCCAGAGCUUGGUUAGCAACAAUUUCUUCAAGUGACUGACAGCCCUUGGAGGAGAGCAUAAAAGAACAUCGCAAUUAUGUUAUGAUGCAAAUGUGUCAUCAGAACAGCAAUGAUUUGAAUCUGUCAGAGAAUACACAACUUUGUAGCAAAUAAGGUGUAAUGAAAUGUUCACAAUAGAAAUAAAAUAUGCUUUCUUAGAAAGAAACAAACUUCAACCUGUUAAUAUUGUUUAUAAACUGGUGAAAUGUGU